rnacentral:rRNA from 1 species
AUGAGCGCUCUCCCCCGCGUCCGCCUCAACAGGAGAAGGGCUGCUGCCGUCGCUGCCGACAAGGACAUCUACUUCCCUGGCGCUUGCCACUGCCUGUUGCAAGCCUCUGAUUUUUGUCUUUCUUUUCUUGCAGAUUCGUCCAUUGUCGCCGGUGCCUCCUUCUAUCUGGCCUUCACGGAUCAGUGGUUCAACCCUUCUCCUCCUCCUUAUUUUCACUCCUCUAUUCUAGGGUUGGAUGUGGAUCUGGUGAGAGAUGAAGGUGAUUUUUUUGGAUCUGAUGCCUGGAUGCGGUCAUGUUCAGGGAACUGGCAAAAGAUUUUUGUGGUUUUUAAUACUGCUUCAGAAUCAUUAUAUGGUGCUUGUGGGUCCAUGUACAAACCAGACAUGGAACCCGAAGAACUAUUUGAGACAAUCUCACAAGCAUUGUUGUCUUCUAUUGAUUGUGAUUGCCUGAGUGGUUGGGGAGGUUAUGUUCUUAUUGUCAAAUGGGUGAGUGCCGGUGGCAACGCGUUGCGAACAUGUCAAUGGCGGCUGCUGAAGCUUGACUUCAGCUACAAGUACAGGCGCACAGAAGGAGCUCUUCUCAAGAUGCCAGUGGCCAGCGCACAGGGGUCUCUGUUCGACCGUAUCCCCGGCAAGCAAGUCCAUGAAAACUUGGAAGUAGAUCAUGAUGAGUGUCAUCUGAGACUCGGGCUCAGUGAGAACAUGAUGAGUGUCAUCGUUCUCUCUGACACUGAUGUUGAAGACGACAGGACCUGUCCACCACGUAUCCAGAUUACUAGUGCUCACUCCUCCAACAACAAUAUCUACCGUAAGGGCUUUUGCUUCGCUUCAAGGGUCUUCUAUUUGGAGCACUGGACCAAGAGCACAUGGAGGGAGCUCUUCUCCACCGCGCCGGCAACAGGAACAAGGAAAAUCCAGUCCAUGGUGCCACCAAUGAACAAGAUAAAGAUAGUGAGAUCAUUUAUGUUUUGGUUGGUUUGCACAAGGUGCUGCAGUUUUCAAGAUAUAUCAUGUGCUCAAAUGUUUGAAGGCUUAUGUUGUGUACUGAAAGAAUCCUCAAAAAAAUUAGAAGGAGACCUGGAUGUCUACCUAGGAUUUAGAUGUGUUAUCCCAGACAGAUAUAUCAUGUUCUCAAUGUGUCUCUUUGUGCCUCCUUCCAAUGACGGCGAUGAACAUCUUUUCAAUUAG